rnacentral:rRNA from 1 species
AUUGAACGCUGGCGGCAGGUCUAACACAUGCAAGUCGAACGAGUGGCGGACGGGUGAGUAAUGUCUGGGAAACUGCCUGAUGGAGGGGGAUAACUACUGGAAACGGUAGCUAAUACCGCAUACCAUCGGAUGUGCCCAGAUGGGAUUGGCUAGUAGGUGGGGUAACGGCUCACCUAGGCGACGAUCCCUAGCUGGUCUGAGAGGAGGACCAGCCACACGGGAAGUGAUACACGGCCCAGAUCCUAACGGGAGGAGGCGGUGGGGAAUAUUGCACAAUGGUGGCAAGCCUGAUGCAGCACUGCCGCUUGUAUGAAGAGGGCCUUCGGGUUGUAAAGUACUUUCAGCGGGGAGGCGUUACCCGAAGAAGAAGCACCGGCUAACUCCGUGCCAGCAGCCGCGGUAAUAC